GGGCUCCUCUGCCUACUAGAGGCACCAGCUUCCUGGCUGCCUGCCUGUUAAACUGAGUCUGUGUCUCUUUGUCAUUCAUUCUUGUUUGCUUCCGGGUCAGCGAGAACAAAGUCGUGGGUUUAGGUCCCCCACAUGUGGUGCCUGGUUCACGUAAUCAACACUGAAGUCAAAAUACAGAACUGUUCUCCCAGAAGGCUCUACCUUGCUAUGUCUUCAUAGCCAAUCCACUCGUCUCCCAUUUCUAACCCAUGACAACCAGUAACCUGUUUCCUAUCUCCAUCAUUUCCCUUCAGCCCCCCUUCUGCCUUGCAAUGCAGUGACACAGCUUGCAUUCUGCCCAGCUCUCACUGUGGUCCAUUGCCUGGGGGCAGAAACUUCUGGGACACCAAACAGAGGGAACUCAAAUGAUAGGUGAUGGACUGUAUCCUGCAGGAGGAAGAGUCUUCAUUCUAAUCACAAAAGCCGCAGUCAGCUUGUCAGAUUACACACCUUGCUUGUAAACAGGAGCAUUUCCUGGGGCAGCCCUCAAAGUCACCAUGUAAUUGAGGAAGCCACAAGAAAUAAUACUGUCCCGGGAAGAAAAUACUGGCAAAGAGAAUGAAAGAAGAGAACAACCCAGAGAAGAGAGCAUCUUACUGUUGCUUAACCUGUAAUGGAACAGCUAGAGUAGGAAGAUAGGGUUGACAGACUCAAGUGAGCAGGGAGCUCUGCCUGGCUACACCAGUGCCCUCCAUGUCCCUUUGGGUGGCUCCGCCAAUGCCUGCCUGUCUGCUGCUGCUGCCCUUGUGGUACCCUACAUGCCUGUGUCCCUUCAUCUCUGUCCUCAUGGGGCCCAACAGCUUCUACCUCCUGUUGCCUUCCAGUCUUCCAGAGCCCCCCACCCCUGCCCCGAAUUGUGCUACAAGGGACUGUGGGAAAACAAGCCUCAGGCUCGUGGGCUGUCUGCCUUGGGGAGAGCAGAGAAACAUCGCAGAGUGACAGUACCACCAUCAGUACCAAAAUGCGACUUCACUGUCACCUGACUGCUUUCUGGUGUCAUUUUUGUGGCACUGUUAUGAUGUUAGUGCAUUCAUGUACAGAGCUAGGCAUCAUCUGCUGCAGUGGGGAAGGAAGAAUAGGAAAAAGUAUAGGAGUCUUGUUCACCUCUCUCCCCAGCACCUGUCACGGUAUUCCACAGACAACAGACAUUCAAUAAAUAUUGGCGUCUUAGUAUGUGUUUCUCCUGUAGAGAGUUCCUAGUGUCCCUCAGAUGUCUCAGUCUCCAUGCUACUAGAGACUAUAUAAAUGAAUUGUAUGUUCCCUUUGGAGGAUAAUUUGUUAAGCUACAUCAAAGCCUGGAGAAUGUACAUAUUGUAUGGCCAGCAAUUUCUAGGAAUUUAUUAUAAAGGAAUAAUAGAACUAAUAUAUAAAAUGGCAUGUUUACAAUAUAGAAAAAUGUAAAUGUCCUUUCAUAGGAAAUGUGUUUGGUAUAUUUCUAGAAUGGGAUAUUAUGCAGUGAUUAAAAAUGAUGGUGAAUUUGAUUGACAUGUGUGAAGGUUUAAUCCUGAUUGUCAAGCUGAUUGAAUUAAGAGAUAGAUGACUACAGAGAUGACUGAUUUGUGAGGGCUCUAACUUCAUCAAUCAACCAACCCAUUGAUGAGUUCUUAGCUGAAUGGGCUACUGGGAGGUGGGGCAUAGUUGGGAGACGUAGGUCACUGAGGGGAGGGUUAUAUUGAAGGGUAUGACUUUUCUCAGGCUCGCUUUCCUUCCUGGCUUCCAUGGGGUCAGUGGCUUUCCUCUGCCAUGCCAGUUCACCUUAGUGCUUCUCCCUCACCACAAGCCUACAACAGUGGAAUAGGAUAACCAUGGACUGAAGCCUCUGAAACUGUGGGCCAGAAUAAAUCUUUCCUCCUUAAAGUUGUCUUUCUGGGGUAUCUAGUUACAGCAAUGAAAAGCUGACUAACAUGAACAGAUAAUAUUUCAACUGAAGUAAUUCAGAAGAAUAUAUAUUUUCUCAAUGUUGAAAAAGAAUAAAGCAAAUUGUAUUACAGAAACAUUAAAAAAAAUUCAAGCAUGCAGAGCUGGAAACCACACGUUUCUUAUGUGAGUUCAUCAGUUGUGAAUGAAGGAAG
ensembl:lncRNA